GUUAUAUGUUAUACCUGCUACAAUCGCAAUAGGCUAUUAAUAGGUGACUUGUUUGGUGAAUGGUCAAAUUUGUUUAACCAGUCUGGCGUUUAUCAUCAUAAAUUUAGUUUGCCCAGUUUAAGAGGCAAGGUUUAUUGUAACCUUGAAUAGUCAAUUUAUCGAAAGGUAUUAUAAUUAUGGAUCCAGUUUAUCUUUUGAAAACGUCAGUCACCUGUUCUGCUAGUCUUUAUCAGGUCGUGUUUACAGAAGGUGUCUUAUUGUUACUGGGCAGAGAUAAGUUUCAGAGUUAGAAUAUAGAAGUGAAGAUUGACUAUUAUACUUA